rnacentral:lncRNA from 1 species
UUCUAGAAGAUUGCAAGCCUUGAGGAUGUCGUCCUCGUUCAUGAAAGACAAUUUGAACUUAAUCCUACAUAGAUAAAGAGACAUAGAUUACGACAGGUCCAAGAUGAAAUGCUUAAAUAUCUUGCUUUAUAAGAAGAUUUUUGGAGACAAAGAGCAGGCAUGUUAUGGUUCAAAGACGGCGAUAGAAACACUAAAUUCUUCCAUGCUCAAGUUAAUGGGAGAAGGAAAAGACUGAAAUUAUCAAGGAUCUAGAAUAGCUUUGGUAACUGGAUUGAAGAAGAUCACUUAAUAACAGAAGAAGCAGUAAAAUUCUACAAGGAUCAAUUUACUGAGAGUACAGUUUGGUAACUUGAUUGAAGAAGAUCACUUAAUAGCAGAAGAAGCAGUAAAAUUAUACAAGGAUCAAUUUUCUGAGAGUACAGUCCCCCAUGCUUUUGAUAUUCUAAAUCAAGUACCUUCAUUGGUAGAUAAUGAUCAACAUGAGAGAUUGAUGUCUUUGCCUUCUAAUUAGGAAGUGAAGAGAGCAGUUAUGGGGCUGAAUGGGGACUCCACAGGCGGACCGGAUGGUUUCACUGGAGCCUUUUACCAAACAUGUUGGGAAAUCAUUGAAGA